GGCUCACGGAUAGUUCAGUCAGAAGAGCAUGAGAUUCUUAAUGUGAGGGUCGUGGGUUCAAGACCCACGUUGGCCG